rnacentral:lncRNA from 1 species
CCUCCUUCUUUUUCUCAGGAGGAGAAGGUCAUAAAUUCAUCUUCCAAAGCCCCUCAUUUGUGGAGGGAGUGACAUCAUCAGUAAGGAGACACCAGCAUAUUAAAUACAUCAUCCAACUGUCUCUGAUAAAGGAAAAUGAGACACCUUCCUGAGUCAUGAAUUUGGUGGUUUUCAGACCGCAGUAAAGUAUAAGCUGUGUUUGACCUGAGACGUCGCACUCCAUCACAGGCCAAGGACACAAGGGCAGGGUCUCCAGAAUGCAGCCCACUUUUCCUCCCUUCUCACACUACUUAAAAGCUUAUCCUGGUUCAUAACCAUUUCUGGUAUCUCUGCAGGCUUAGGGCGAGACCCAGCCCCAGUUUACACCUGGAUUCCGAAUAUACCAGCCUUGGACUGGACUGAUGUGGCUCCUAGCAGCCCUCAGACUCUCCCAGGACUUUAGGAAGAAGGUAAAAGCAUAGAAGGACCACAGUGGGCACAGGUGAGCUUCCAGCUAUACGCCCCAGGACAGCAUCCAGGAGUGGGCAGGUCUUUCCCGUCGCAGACAGCCAGACAUGAGCCAGCCCUACAGGAGCACCCAGAGCUCAGAGGCAUCAAAACAGCCCUGUGCUUUGAGGUUUGUAAUUAACUCCUGGGGGGGAUGGGCGUGGUCUGCUUUGUAAGGAAUCUUGGCAUGAAGCAUCAGGAAAUACGUCAUAUUGUCAUCACUGUAAUAUUACAGGAAUUGCCGCUGCUGAAUGCUUCUCCCUAUGGCUGCGGACCUGGAGCCUUUAUAAAGUGAGCGAGCACACCGUCCUGUCCAGUCUCAGCUGGGAAGCCAGCCAGCCAUGAGGCUCUGCUACCUUCUCUUUGUGCUGCUCUUCUUGUUCUUGCUGCCUGUUCCAGCUUAUGUACUUAAACAUCAUGAAGAAUGGGAGCAUCAUGAAAACAUCCACCAAGAAAGGGGAAAAGCAUCAACAGUAGAUAAAGAUCAGGAACAGUAGGGUUUGGGGAAUACUGUUUUUCCCCUUUGAUCUGGCCAAUCAAAGGGCCAAUCAGGUUUUUUUUCCAUUUCCCUCAUGUGCAAACCAGACUCACGGCGUGGUCCCCUCCAUGGAUGGACGCUUGUAGCGGAUGGUGCUCCCACUGGGACCCUGGUGUGCUGACCAUGGCGACUGCCCAGCUGCUGCAAGCCAGAUGAAGGUGCUUUCCCCUGGACGGGUGAGAUUCAUCUGCUAAGUGCUAUUGUAAAUUCACUUCUUUCCUUUCGCUUUGAUCCUUGAUCUGUACUAGCCUAAGUACUUUAAUAAAUUGGUUUCUGUUACCAACCUGUGGACUACAUCUUGAAUUCUUUAAAAGAACCACUGAAGCAAAGCAAAACGUUUUUGGCAUAGUCAGCAUGUUUCGAGAUGCUAUUGCUUUUCCAUGGGAAAGUUGAUCCUAUUCCAGGAUGGGAAGAUCCUUCUUUUAGCAGUUUAGCUCAGCAAUGAGAAAGGGAGCUGGACUAUGUGAAAAUUGGG